CCCCGAUUCCGGGAACCCCCCCUCAUUCCGGGAACCUCACCCCAAAUCUUUCCUUCUCCUCUCCAUCCCCAAGCUCCUGAUCCCUCUCUCAGCCCCACCUUUAAAAUAUCAGAUCGAAAGCUGACUUAUUUAUUUAAUUAAUUUUUAACAGAUGAGAAAUAAAUUAGCUGGGGAGAGGUUGAGUCCCCCGAAAGGAGGAAUAAAGGGUAUUCCCAGUGAAAAUCUCGUGAGCUCCUUCAAGAUGCAAUAGGCCCAAAGGAACUGGAAUGUUUAAUUUUAGCGGGACACUGUCAGGAGCUGUGGAAGCUGAACUCGUUGGGAUGCAAAUGGCAGCGGAUGCGGAGGCACAUGGAGAUAAGGGCAGACUGCGAGCAAGCAGCAGUGGGAAGGGUCUCCCAAAAGCCCCUCACUCAUCUGUUGGUCUCCAUGUCAGGACUGCAGCCUCUGCCCAUGACCUGCAGCCAAAGUCUCCUGCCCAUCCCUCAUUGCUGGUGCUGAGCAUGGAGAAGGAAUCGCCCUUCUCUGGGCCCUGAGGCUCCCAGACCGCCCCAUGCCCUGAGUUUGGCCCCAGCCACAAUUCCUCCCCACAGAGGGCAUGAGCAUCCCAUGGAGACCCCGUCUGAGAUGCUGCUCAGACACCCCAAGACUGCGGGUUCUGUGUUUGGCUGUCCCCUUUCCUUCUGCUGCCUCUGAGGAAGCUGCGUCUGGUCAGGAGCAAAUUUGAGUCACCCAGGGAAGGAUUUUCCCACGGUGCUGCAGAAAGGCAAACUGCACCCUCACCCAAGAGGGCUGACGAGGAGGUGACACCUCCCCAGGUAGUAUCGAGUCAUCGUUAGACAGAGCCCGCUCCCAAAUCGGCCACCCUGCUUGGGAAGGGCAGCAGAAAAUAUCCCAGGGCUCCCAUUGUCUGAGGGGAUGGGACAGGGUGGGGGGCUCCCCCAGCAGCUCAGAGUCACCAUCCCACCUGGGCUGAGCAGUGGAGGGGACACGUGCCCCAGACAGGGGGUCAAGGGAUUCCUCCUGGCCUCUGGAUUCUGUGUUCCUAAAGAAAGAGGUGACUGGAGCUGAAGCCCCCACAUUGCCCAGGUGUGGGAGGUACAGGGGCAGCUCCAGGCAUGGGCUCUGCCUUGAGCCCUGGGAAGCACAAGCACCUCCUGGAGCCAGAGCAGCUUCCAGAGCAAUUCCUGCCAAGUGAGAAUAACUGGUGCAGCUGGUCUCCCUGCUCCCCUCCACCCCACAUCAUAUAUAAUUGCCUAUUUUAAUUAAUAAAUUGGAGGCCACUCAAAGGAAAGCGGCGAGA
rnacentral:lncRNA from 1 species